rnacentral:rRNA from 1 species
AACGAACGCUGGCGGCAGGCUUAACACAUGCAAGUCGAACGCCCCGCAAGGGGAGUGGCAGACGGGUGAGUAACGCGUGGGAAUCUACCCAGAUCUACGGAACAACAGUUGGAAACGACUGCUAAUACCGUAUACGCCCUACGGGGGAAAGAUUUAUCGGAUUUGGAUGAGCCCGCGUUGGAUUAGCUAGUUGGUGGGGUAAUGGCCUACCAAGGCGACGAUCCAUAGUUGGUCUGAGAGGAUGAUCAGCCACACUGGGACUGAGACACGGCCCAGACUCCUACGGGAGGCAGCAGUGGGGAAUAUUGGACAAUGGGCGCAAGCCUGAUCCAGCCAUGCCGCGUGAGUGAUGAAGGCCUUAGGGUUGUAAAGCUCUUUCACCGAUGAAGAUAAUGACGGUAGUCGGAGAAGAAGCCCCGGCUAACUUCGUGCCAGCAGCCGCCGUAAAAC